ACAGGCAAACACAAACCAAGUCAUCCCAUCCAGCAGUCCCUUUGGCACAGACAGGAUUGCAAAAUGGAAUAGGCUGUAAUCCAUGAAGCCAAAUGAGGCUGGUCUCAGUUUUCAGGAAGAUCUUCUGGAAUUUUUAGACAGAGAGAUCAACAGUGAGCUAUGGGGUCUUAGAAGCAGAAGAACUACUGGCCAGUAAGGGAAGACACAGUGAGGAAGGAGAAAAGAAUUAGCAUUCCUAUUAAAUAGUACCAUGGACUGGAGAAUGACAAGAGGGAUUUUGAGAUCACAUUGAUCCUAAACAAUCAUUGGCUUGAGAGACCAUGGAAAUCAUGGUGAUGGGGGUGAUCCUGACUUUAUUUGCUAUUAUACUGGUGACUUUUUGUAUCCUCUGCUGGUCCAGCUACAACAAAGCCCCAUGGAAUCAGAAUGAAGAUAUUAUCCCAACCUUCACUUUGUCCACUUUUCACAGAGAAGAUUCUUUUAUCAUAAGACAUACUGGUCAGAAUUCCAAUUCCCAUUCCUCCACCAACCAAAGGAAUUUCUUUUCCUUCAUGUGAAGUCUUAUCCAGGGUCAUCCAAAACUCUUCUAUAUCCCUUUCUAUUUUCAUGGAGCAGCCAACUGUCAUAAAGGAGGAUUUUCAGGAAAUGAAAAUAUAGUCCCCACUUUGGAGGAUGUUAUACAUGGAAUUGUUAGAUGGACAGUAGGUAGCCUGUGGAAAGUUCUCAGAAUAAUGUUUUUUUAAAUGGAUAAAAUAAAACACAUAGGAUUGUUGCUGUUAUUCAUCCUUCGUUUUUCAAAGAGGAUCAAUGACAACAAGAGGAUGGUGGCUUGAUUUGUGUGUGAACUGAUUUAAGUGAGGCAGAGUUGCUUAAAGUCUUCAGCCUCACUUCCUCAACAGUCAUCAAAGACCCAAAUGGCCUGGAAUGCAGUGGAUAACUUGACAUUUUCAAUGUCUGACCAAGCUCAAAGGGUUCCACAGAAAAUCUUUCACGUGCACUAAUGAUUGUUGGAAUAAAUUGUUUUUUAUCUGCUCACUUUCUUCAUAUGCUUGGGGUAGGCAUUCCCCUAAAUCACUACCACAGGAAACCAAUUAUAUUGAAAUAGUAAUAGCAUGUUGAAUAUAUACUGAAAUAAAAGUAUAACAUUUCCCAUCUAGCUUCACAAGUCAACUGAAAUUUAUUCACAGAACUCUUAGAGAUCUACUGAGCCCAGGUUAAAAAGUUCUGAUAUAAAUUCUCUCUAACCUUUUUACUGUGCUGUGAAGAGUCUUACUGAAAAGUCAAGGAGGUCUAGUUUGUGUCACCUCUUACAAAAGACAUUUCUUGAUCCUCCCCAUUAUUAGUGCUAUUCUUUCCUUCUCCCAAUAUUUUGCUUCUAUUUUUUCAUUUUCUUACUAAUGUUCCUGCCUGUUAUUUCCUUUUAUUAAAAUAUAAGCCCCUUGGGGUCAAGGACUAUCUAGCAUUUGUAUUUCUAUACUUAGUGCCUGCAAUGCCAGGCUGGUUGAAGAUACUAGUAGAAUGUAAGUUUAUUAAGAGUCAGGACUAUUUUCAUUUUUGUUACUGUAUAUGCAUUUGUAUCAACAUUGCAGUUGCCCAAGAUGUCCUUAAAUCCUACAAUGAAAAGACAGAUAAUAGCAUCAGAAGUAUAAGAAUACUGAACUCUAAGAAGAAGGCAUUGUAGUUGGCAGGAAAGCAUAAAAAUGUAUCACAUUAUUUAAUAUAGAAUAUGUUUUGACCUUUUAGAUAUGCACAUCUUUCUGAAUUAUGAAUAGAGAAAUUUAUAAGAUUUUUUACUGUUUGCCUACAUUGUUUAUAAUAAAAUGCUUAUAUAAAA